rnacentral:rRNA from 1 species
AAGUAGGGGAUCGCAAGACCUUGCGCUUUUGGAGUGGCCGAUGCCUGAUUAGCUAGUUGGUGGGGUAAUGGCCUACCAAGGCGACGAUCAGUAGUUGGUCUGAGAGGACGACCAGCCACACUGGGACUGAGACACGGCCCAGACUCCUACGGGAGGCAGCAGUGGGGAAUUUUGGACAAUGGGCGAAAGCCUGAUCCAGCAAUGCCGCGUGAGUGAAGAAGGCCUUCGGGUUGUAAAGCUCUUUCAGUCGAGAAGAAAAGGUUGUGACUAAUAAUCACAACUCAUGACGGUAUCGACAGAAGAAGCACCGGCUAACUACGUGCCAGCAGCCGCGGUAAUACGUAGGGUGCGAGCGUUAAUCGGAAUUACUGGGCGUAAAGGGUGCGCAGGCGGCUUUGUAAGUCAGAUGUGAAAUCCCCGGGCUUAACCUGGGAAUUGCGUUUGAAACUACAAAGCUUAGA